rnacentral:rRNA from 1 species
AGAACCUUACCAGCCCUUGACAUCCCGGUCGCGGGAACGAGAGAUCGAUCCCUUCAGUUCGGCUGGACCGGAGACAGGUGCUGCAUGGCUGUCGUCAGCUCGUGUCGUGAGAUGUUGGGUUAAGUCCCGCAACGAGCGCAACCCUCGCCCUUAGUUGCCAUCAUUUAGUUGGGCACUCUAAGGGGACUGCCGGUGAUAAGCCGGAGGAAGGUGGGGAUGACGUCAAGUCCUCAUGGCCCUUACAGGCUGGGCUACACACGUGCUACAAUGGCGGUGACAGAGGGACGCAAAGGAGUAAUCCUUCGCAAAUCUCAAAAAGCCGUCUCAGUUCGGAUUGUGCUCUGCAACUCGAGCACAUGAAGUUGGAAUCGCUAGUAAUCGCAGAUCAGCACGCUGCGGUGAAUACGUUCCCGGGCCUUGUCACACCGA